GAUGAACGCUGGCGGCGUGCCUAAUACAUGCAAGUCGAGCGAACGGACGAGAAGCUUGCUUCUCUGAUGUUAGCGGCGGACGGGUGAGUAACACGUGGAUAACCUACCUAUAAGACUGGGAUAACUUCGGGAAACCGGAGCUAAUACCGGAUAAUAUUUUGAACCGCAUGGUUCAAAAGUGAAAGACGGUCUUGCUGUCACUUAUAGAUGGAUCCGCGCUGCAUUAGCUAGUUGGUAAGGUAACGGCCUACCAAGGCGACGAUGAAUAGCCGACCUGAGAGGAUGAACGGCCACAUUGGGACCGAGACACGGCCCAGGCUCCGACGGGAGGGAGCAGUGGGGAAUCUUCGGCAAUGGACGAAAGGCUGAAGGAGCAACGCCGCGGGAGUGAUGACGGCCGUCGGGUUGUAAAGAUCUGUUAAUCGGGACGAAAGGCAUUUUUGCGAAUAGUGAGAAGGAUUGACGGUACCGGAAUAGAAAGCCACGGCUAACUACGUG
rnacentral:rRNA from 1 species